rnacentral:rRNA from 1 species
AUACGGAGGGUGCAAGCGUUAAUCGGAAUUACUGGGCGUAAAGCGCUCGUAGGCGGUUUGUUAAGUCGGAUGUGAAAGCCCCGGGCUCAACCUGGGAACUGCAUUCGAUACUGGCAGACUAGAGUAUAGUAGAGGCAAGUGGAAUUCCGGGUGUAGCGGUGAAAUGCGUAGAUAUCCGGAGGAACAUCAGUGGCGAAGGCGACUUGCUGGACUAAUACUGACGCUGAGGAGCGAAAGCGUGGGGAGCAAACGGGAUUAGAAACCCCAGUAGUCC